rnacentral:rRNA from 1 species
AUUGAACGCUGGCGGAAUGCUUUACACAUGCAAGUCGAACGGCAGCACGGGAGCUUGCUCCUGGUGGCGAGUGGCGAACGGGUGAGUAAUGCGUCGGAACGUACCGAGUAAUGGGGGAUAACGCACCGAAAGGUGUGCUAAUACCGCAUACGCCCUGAGGGGGAAAGUGGGGGAUCGCAAGACCUCACGUUAUUCGAGCGGCCCGCGUCGGAUUAGCUAGUUGGUGGGGUAAUGGCUCACCAAGGCGACGAUCCGUAGCUGGUCUGAGAGGAUGACCAGCCACACUGGGACUGAGACACGGCCCAGACUCCUACGGGAGGCUG